GAUGAACGCUGGCGGCGUGCUUAACACAUGCAAGUCGAACGGAAAGGCCCAAGCUUGCUUGGGUACUCGAGUGGCGAACGGGUGAGUAACACGUGGGUGAUCUGCCCUGCACUUCGGGAUAAGCCUGGGAAACUGGGUCUAAUACCGGAUAGGACCACUUCUUGGAUGUUGUGGUGGAAAGUUUUUUCGGUGUGGGAUGAGCUCGCGGCCUAUCAGCUUGUUGGUGGGGUAAUGGCCUACCAAGGCGUCGACGGGUAGCCGGCCUGAGAGGGUGUACGGCCACAUUGGGACUGAGAUACGGCCCAGACUCCUACGGGUGGCAGCAGUGGGGAAUAUUGCACAAUGGGCGCAAGCCUGAUGCAGCGACGCCGCGUGGGGGAUGACGGCCUUCGGGUUGUAAACUCCUUUCGCUAGGGACGAAGCGUUUUUGUGACGGUACCUGGAGAAGAAGCACCGGCUAACUACGUG
rnacentral:rRNA from 1 species